AGAGUUUGAUCCUGGCUCAGAACGAACGCUGGCGGCGUGGAUAAGACAUGCAAGUCGGACGAGAUUUUCCGUUGUAGCAAUACGAUGGAAAGUCUAGUGGCGAACGGGUGCUUAACACGUGGGCAACCUGCCAGGAAGUGGGGGACAGCUCGCCGAAAGGGGAUUAAUACCGCAUGUGAUUAGAGAGGACAUCCUUUCGAAAUUAAAGUCGGGGCAACCUGACGCUUCUUGUGGGGCCCGCGGCCUAUCAGCUAGUUGGUGAGGUAACGGCUCACCAAGGCUUUGACGGGUAGCUGGUCUGAGAGGACGACCAGCCACACUGGGACUGAGACACGGCCCAGACACCUACGGGUGGCAGCAGUCGAGAAUUUUUGACAAUGGGGGAAACCCUGAUCGAGCGACGCCGCGUGGAGGAUGAAGGUCUUCGGAUUGUAAACUCCUGUCAUUGGGGAACAAUGCACAGAUAUUAACUGUAUUUGUGUUGAUAGUACCCGAAGAGGAAGAGACGGCUAACUCUGUGCCAGCAGCCGCGGUAAUACAGAGGUCUCAAGCGUUGUUCGGAUUCAUUGGGCGUAAAGGGUGCGUAGGCGGCGCGGUAAGUCGGGUGUGAAAUCUCGGAGCUUAACUCCGAAACUGCAUUCGAUACUGCCGUGCUUGAGGACUGGAGAGGAGACUGGAAUUUACGGUGUAGCGGUGAAAUGCGUAGAUAUCGUAAGGAAGACCAGUGGCGAAGGCGGGUCUCUGGACAGUUCCUGACGCUGAGGCACGAAGGUCAGGGGAGCAAACGGGAUUAGAUACCCUAGUAGUCC
rnacentral:rRNA from 1 species